CCUACGGGAGGCAGCAGUGAGGAAUAUUGGUCAAUGGACGAGAGUCUGAACCAGCCAAGUAGCGUGAAGGAUGACUGCCCUAUGGGUUGUAAACUUCUUUUAUAUGGGAAUAAAAUGUUCCACGUGUGGGAUUUUGUAUGUACCCUAUGAAUAAGGAUCGGAUAACUCCGUGCCAGCAGCCGCGGUAAUACGGAGGAUCCGUGCGUUAUCCGGAUUUAUUGGGUUUAAAGGGAGCAUCGGAGGAUUUGUAAGUCAGUUGUGAAAGUUGGCGGCUCAACCGUAAAAUUGCAGAUGAAACUGGCAGUCGUGAGUACAGUAGAGGUGAGCGGAAUUCGUGGUGUAGCGGUGAAAUGCGUAGAUAUCGCGAAGAACUCCGAUUGCGAAGGCAGCUCACUGGACUGCAACUGACACUGAGGCACGAAAGUGUGGGUAUCAAACAGGAUUAGAUACCCCUGUAGUC
rnacentral:rRNA from 1 species